GAUUCUAAAUGUGUUGACUGCAAUUCAACGUUCAGUUGCUCGCUUAAGAGCGAAACCUGUAUCAUCGGAGGAAAAUGUUACGUUGCAAACGAGACAAACCCUAAUAAUCCAUGCCAACGCUGUGAUCCCGCUUACGACGCUGUGGGAUGGUUCACUCAAGCUACAAGCUGCUCGAUAGAUGGCGUGUGUGACCCAGAUAGAAACAUCAGACCUGGAUUCUCUUGCCUGUACUGCGACUUUAACAUCAACGAAAAUGAAUGGACA